GACGAACGCUGGCGGCGUGCUUAACACAUGCAAGUCGAACGGUGAAGGGAUCAGCUUGCUGGUUCUGGAUGAGUGGCGAACGGGUGAGUAACACGUGAGUAACCUGCCCCCUUCUUCUGGAUAACCGCAUGAAAGUGUGGCUAAUACGGGAUAUUCUGCGCCUGCUGCAUGGUGGGUGUGGGAAAGAUGUUGUUUCGGUGGGGGAUGGGGUCGCUGCCUAUCAGCUUGUGGGUGGGGGGAUGGCCUGCCAAGGCGGUGACGGGUAGCCGGCCUGUGAGGGGGGCCGGUAAGACGGGGACCGGGCCCCGGCCCAGACUGCUACGGGAGGCAGCAGUGGGGAAUACUGCACAAUGGGAGCAAGCCUGAUGCAGCGACGCCGCGUGAGGGAGGGAGGCCUUCGGGUUGUGAACCUCUUUCGCCAGUGAAGCAGGCCUGUCCCUUGUGGGUGGGUUGACGGUAGCUGGAUAAGAAGCGCCGGCUAACUACGUG
rnacentral:rRNA from 1 species